GACGAACGCUGGCGGCGUGCCUAACACAUGCAAGUCGAACGAAGAAUGUUUUUUCGGAAUAUUCUUAGUGGCGGACGGGUGAGUAACGCGUGAACAAUCUGCCCCGUACAAAGGGAUAGCCUCGGGAAACCGGGAUUAAAACCAUAUAACGCUUUAGUACCGCAUGGUAAUAAAGUCAAAUCGAUUAAGAGGUAUGGGAUGAGUUCGCGUCUGAUUAGCUAGUUGGUGAGGUAAGGGCUCACCAAGGCGACGAUCAGUAGCCGGCCUGAGAGGGUGAACGGCCACACUGGAACUGAGACACGGUCCAGACUCCUACGGGAGGCAGCAGUGGGGAAUAUUGCACAAUGGAGGGAACUCUGAUGCAGCGACGCCGCGUGAGUGAAGAAGGUCUUCGGAUCGUAAAACUCUGUCCUUGGUGAAGAAAGGACGGUAGCCAAGGAGGAAGCCCCGGCUAACUACGUG
rnacentral:rRNA from 1 species